GGUGUAUUUCAGGUAUGGAAGUCAAUCUCAUGUUUGCACCAUUUUGGCAAGGGGGCUUUGAAUGCCUCAAUUCAAUCCUACUCUAUAUCUGAAGAGAGUUGGGGUUUACUUGGUAUAGUCCAAGGAUCUAGAAAAGUUGCCUGAGGCUGAUAGUUUGGACAAUCACAUUUCAUUUCAGUAUGAGGAUAUGAAUGCAAUGCAGAGA